rnacentral:rRNA from 1 species
AGUGAACGCUGGCGGUAGGCCUAACACAUGCAAGUCGAACGGCAGCACAGUAAGAGCUUGCUCUUACGGGUGGCGAGUGGCGGACGGGUGAGGAAUACAUCGGAAUCUACUUUUUCGUGGGGGAUAACGUAGGGAAACUUACGCUAAUACCGCAUACGACCUACGUGUGAAAGCAGGGGAUCUUCGGACCUUGCGCGAUUGAAUGAGCCGAUGUCGGAUUAGCUAGUUGGCGGGGUAAAGGCCCACCAAGGCGACGAUCCGUAGCUGGUCUGAGAGGAUGAUCAGCCACACUGGAACUGAGACACGGUCCAGACUCCUACGGGAGGCAGCAGUGGGGAAUAUUGGACAAUGGGCGCAAGCCUGAUCCAGCCAUACCGCGUGGGUGAAGAAGGCCUUCGGGUUGUAAAGCCCUUUUGUUGGGAAAGAAAAGCAGAAGGUUAAUACCCCGCUGUUCUGACGGUACCCAAAGAAUAAGCACCGGCUAACUUCGUG